rnacentral:lncRNA from 1 species
CCGCAGUCCUCUACCCCUGCAUGGCGUAGGACUGUGGGCCCCAGCGCGCUUGGAAUAAAAAUCCUCUUGCUGUUUGCAUCAAGACUGCUUCUCGUGAGUGAUUUAGGGUGUCGCCUCUUUUGAGUCCGGAUGAGGGGGAUUUUCCUUCUACUGGUCUUUCACUGUCAAGGCCAUCUUCACCUUGAGGUCCUCCCUCUGCCCACACUGGCCAAAACUCCUACUCUGAGAAAUCUUUUGGCAGAAGGCGAAAAGUGGCAUCUGAGAUGUUGUGACACCUCUACCAGCAUAUGGGGCCACAGCAACUCAGAACCAAGCCGCAUCUGAGACCUAUACCACAGCUCAUGGCAACGCCAGAUCCUUAACCUGGUGAGUGAAGCCAGGGAUCGAACCCACAACAUCAUGGUUCCUAGUCGGAUUCUUUAACCACUGAGCCACGAUGGGAACUCCUCCUUUCUACCUUUUUAUCAGGACAUUUUCUCUUAUAGUAUGAGGAAUGGCAUUGCAUUUUCUUAAGGGAAAGAGAGUGAUUUUUAUCCCAGAGGUGGCUGCUUCUGAAUGGAGGAAGAAAAAGGCAAAAUAAUAUGGACACAGAAACUUGUAAUUUGUGGAAAAGGAAAUUUAGUUGGGUAAUGGAUUUUGUUAGGAAUGGGCCGAGGCAAGUUGUGGAAUUGGUUUCUCCCUCCAAAGUUUUCUUGAAAUGCUGCUUUUGAUAACAGAUUCUGUGAUUUUUUUUUGCCUUUAAGUUACCUGUCAUUGCUUUUGAGAUCUCUAGUAGCUUUGAUUAAGGAAUACAUAUUGUCUCACAGUGACCUAUGAUAUUUGACCAAGUGUUUUGAAACUUUGAUGAACUUCCCAAAUAUCAAAUUUUAAUUAAAGUAUUUUUGACUUCCAGCUAACUUUGGGAUUCUUCAAGGAAACCAGGAAGCAUCUCAGAUACUAAAUUAACUAGGAUUAUUAAUAUGUUAAAUUACAUGGAGAGCAUUAUCAGAAGAACAAUAAACCCACUUAGGUUACACUGUGGGUAAAUGUUAGUAUAGACAUUCUAGAAAUUAUAUGAAAUUUCUAAAAUUUGGAUAUAUCCUGGUAUAUAAGAUUAUCAGUCAUAAUUCUUGUUGUAACCAACUUUUUUAAUCAAUUACAUUUUAAUCAGAUGUUUAACCAUACCUUUUAAUUUUUUCUGUCAUUGCUGUACUCUGAUGCUUUUGCAAAAUUGCUUCGUCUUCAGGGAUAGUCAUAGGAAAGCUAUGGAAAUUGUUACAACAGUUCCACAUCAAGAUGAUGGCUACCUGAGGAACCAGUCCAUCCAACUUAAAACAAGAAGCUGUACUGUCUCUGGGGUGCUUAGAUCAGGUAUCCGGAGGUUUUUACUCCCUGACAGAUAGGGUUGAUGUCACUAGUCAAACUUGAAGCAGUUUAAGAAAAAGAUAUACCAUCUGCCCUCUGCUUCCUGUAAGAAUAUGGGAAUAAAAUAUCUGAGGGGGGAAUGCAAUAGGAAGGAAGGGGGCAGGGCCCAACCUUUAAAAAGAAUAACAUUGUCCUUGAGGAAUAUGACAAAAACUGGUUAGAACCAACUAGGUGCCAAGAUGGCAGAUGAUUUGACUUCUAGUAUAUCUUGAGCCUUAUUAUAUGCUCAUUGCAAUGCAUUAGCAUACUAAAUGGCACACCAUGACAGCUCUGAGUAUAAAUAUUUUUUAAAUAGACAUUAUAGAAAUAAAUAAGUUUUCUGAAAUUUGGGUAUGCCCUGGUAUUAUUUUAUAAUUUUAGUUAUCUUAAAACGUAUGUCACAGCAACUUGGUUAAGCUUCUUCAUCAAGAGCAUUGUAAUCAGAUCUUUAACCUUGCCUUUUAAAGACUUUUUGUCACUCAUAGACAGUUAAAACCAAUACUUGCAAAAGUGCUUCAUCUUCAAGAAAGUUCACAAGUACAGGUCUUUGUUAUAGUUCAGACAAUACCAUUGAACUGGGUUAAAUAUGUAUGUAAAAGAUACUGAUGAUUUCAAAAAGCAGAUAACAAAGGAUUACUGAGUGAACUGGUGAAUGUGGAUAUAAAUGUUUAUGGUUUAUUUUGAAUGGAGUAUUACUGGUUUUGAUAUGUGUUUUCCAGACAUAGAGAAGCCCUUCUCCUCAAGAUACUUAUGACUUAAGAGUGAUUGAACAAAUUACUCCUCUGUGGAUAAAAUUGAAAUAUUUUUCUUCUCUCUUCCUGUUUCCCCCAGAAAUUAGAGACUCUUGGGUUCUGAGCAGGCUUAUCAGGUGAAUAGGAAAGACUGCUUCCCGGCAUGUGUAGGAUUCUUGAUAUUUUGGGAACUUCUAGAAAAGAAUUCAGUCUGAGACUCCUGAGGAAUUACACCAGAUCGGUGUAACAGGCCUAUGUAGUCAAUGGAGCAGACUUGUUUUGGAAACAAAUUAGACUUGUUUGUCUGUGUUCAAUGGAGAUGAGGGUAAUUUUAGAGAAAAAGAUUAUGCUUCAAUAGAUAUGAAAUUCUAGUUAUGUUCAUUGAAGUCUGUAUCUAUGAAAGUUAUUGUGUUAGCCACAAUUUUGGCCUGAUGUUCAGGAUGAAAAGAAAAUUAUGAAAAGUAGAAUUAUCUUGUGGAAUUAUCACAGAAUAACUACUCAUGACAUAUCACCGACUGCUUUGGGUCCACUGCUAAAAGCAUAUGUACAAUGUUUGUGUGACAAGUGGGUAUAAGUGAUAAAAUGUAUGGCCUAUAAAGUGUUUCUUCAUUAAUGUGCUUCUGAGCUUAUUCAUGAUACCUGAUCAGUUUUCCCCAAAUGUGGACUAACUAGGCAAAUACAUAGGAAGCCUAGAAUUGAGGGACAUGAUCUACAUCUGGGACAAACAGCUGAAUCACCCUGGCAUUGAAGGGAAGAUUUUUUUAAGGGCCAUGGGCCACACCUGUGGUAUAUGGAAGUUUCUAGGAUAGGGGUCAAAACAGAGCUGCAGCUGCUGGCCUAUACUUUAGCCACAACAACACCAGAUCCAAACCACACCUGUGACAUACACCACAGCUCACCACAAUGGUAUAUCCUUAACCCACUGAGCAGGGACAGGGAUUGAACCUUCAUUGUCAUGGUGCUAGCUGGGUUCAUUACUGCUGAGCCACAACAGGAAUUCCUCAGAUGUUUUGAUUAUCAAUGCUUUCUAUUGAAGGACUUACAAUUGAAAGGAGAAAUGAUGGAAAAUCUGCAUGUAUUGAGGUAUGAGGAAGUCACUCUGGCUUAACUUAAAUUUUGCUAACCAGAGGCAUGCUUUGUGGCUUUCCAGACAUGUAUUGUACAUCUGCUCUGGCCAUUUUGGAUUUCAAACACAUUUCAUUAUUGCUGAGCUAUGUCAGAUGCCACUAGCCAUUCUCAAAGCAGUGUCUUCUUGCAGCUGGUAGCUGCACCUUAUGGAUUCAAAGUAUCCUCUUGUAACUGUUCAAUUUUUAGACAAUGAAAUUUCUUUAGAUCAGAUAUUCACAGAAAGAGGAGACAUGUAGUGGCCAAUAGCUCCUGUUAUGAGUAUGUUAAUGCUGCAUCAGAAGUUAAAACCUACUUAGGUAAAACUUGAUAACUGUCCACAGCAAGUCUCCCCAAAGUGCCAGUUCCAGACUGGGUUUCAGGCUUAUUCUCAUGAAUUCCUUAGGGAAUCAGAUCUAUUUUGUCUAUUAAAGUUCUAGUUGUCAUUCCUACCUCUAACUAGUUCUAUUGCACAGAGAUUGUGGACUUAGGGAUUGAGAUCUUAAUCAUUAAUCCAGGGUUUGUAACUCAGGGAUAUUUCUAAUUUGGUGUCCAAUCCCCCAAACUGAAGUAGGACUAUGCACCAUUUCAGCAGGAAUUAGCCAGAGCAGUCGUCACCCCUUUCCCUAAAAGACUUGGGGAAAGAUAAAACAGAAAUGAGGAUUUAAAACCAAAUCCCCCUAAAACCAAGUUCUGAAAGGAUGAAAAUGCAACCUAACCCUCCCAGAACCCAGGAAGUUAAUAAAAAGCUCUAAAUGCCCCCGAAUUCCAGACCCUGUUCCCUGCCAGUAAAUAGGUAGAAGGUCACACUUCUUAUUGUUCCAGGGCCUGCUAUCCUGGCCUAAGUAAGAUAACAGGAAAUGAGUUGACUAAUCGCUUAUCUGGAUUCUGUAAAACUGACUGGCACCAUAGAAGAAUUGAUUACACAUUGAAAGCCCUAGUGACCUAUCUCAACUGCAAUCUGUCACUCUGCCCAGGAGCCCGCGCAGAUGCGGACCUCCGGAGCUGUUUUAAAAUGAUUGGUCCACGGAGCGCGGGCUCUCGAUAUUUCAAAAUGAUUGGUCCACGGAGCGCGGGCUCUCGAUAUUUUAAAAUGAUUGGUUUGCGACGCACAAGCUUUGUUGUGAACCCCAUAAAAGCUGUCCUGAUUCCGCACUCGGGGCCGCAGUCCUCUACCCCUGCGUGGCAUACGACUGUGAGCCCCAGCGCGCUUGGAAUAAAAAUCCUCUUGCUGUUUGCAUCAAGACUGCUUCUCGUGAGUGAUUUAGGGUGUCGCCUCUUCUGAGCCCGACGAGGGGGAUUGUUCUUUUACUGGCCUUUCAGUUCCUCUGCUGAGUUUAUGAUUAAUGUCUUUAUUCAAAAAAAAAGUAUUCCCUUUCCUGUCCAAUACCUAUUCUCCUCGAGUUUGAGGAGUAUCAAAGAAAAUGGGGGAAUGAAACCAGGCAGGGCCCUGUGGAGCUCCUGGGCACAAGCCUUUCCAAGUCCCCUGUUUCUUGGUUUUAGGAAAUAAGUUUCAACCUCCAUGACCUUACCUGAGUUCCAAAGGGCAGUUUCAAACAUUUGCUGAUCAGGGAAGGGAGGGGAUGCAGAAACCAGAAAGGAGCAGUCAAUAAAAAAUACUGAAGCCUUAGGACAGGGUCCUGGUUCUUUUGCAAGGAAUAGACAUAACAAUAUUUUUUAGUUCUGAAGAACUAAAACCCCCAACAAGUGAAAACUAGAGAGGAGAACCACUAGAGCCAGUCCUGGGGCCACUAAACACCAACUUUGAAGAAUAAUGAAAGCUUACAUCUACCCUGAUCAUUAUCUGUGGCCCUAUUUUUCACUCCUAAACUAUAAAAACACUGCUUAAUUUCUCCCAAGGUAGGGCACAGUCUUCAGAGCAUUAGCCUGCUGUGGCCUCCUUCACCUGGCAAAGCACUAAAGCUAUUUUUUUUUCUCCUCACCCUAAAACUCUGUCUCUGUGUUUCUGUUCAACACCGGUGGACAGAGGCCAAAUUUUGGCAACAUGAGCUAGUCCAGGGAUCAAACAUGCAUCCUCAUAGACAUUAUAUCAGGUUCUUAACCUGCUGAGCCACAACGGGAACUCCAAGAAAUUUUUUUUAAAUAUAAGUGUUGUAUUUAUAUAAACCUAGCUAUGGUGUUAAUUGGAGAAUGGCUUUGAUUCAGGAAAGAUGUUAGGCCAGUGAUGAAUAAAAUUUAUAUUUUAAGGCAAAUGAGAAAAAAAUUUCUCUGUGUUUGUUUUGGCCUUCUCCCUCCCCCCCCACCAUGUGGUGUGUGCAUCGGCAUCACAUAUUAACCAGAGCUUCUCAAAGAUGGGAAUGCCUGCUCAACCAUAAAGAUCAGUUUUUUUUUCUUUUUUCUGAUGCUAGUACUGUAACUUUUUAAAGAAUAGUGUUCUUUCCCAGCUCUGUAGUGGGUCAUGGUUAUUUGUUGCUUGCUUUGUAUGUGCUGACCUGGACUAUGUAUCCUUGUUGCUUGCUUUGUAUGUGCUGACCUGGACUAUGUAUCCUUGGUGACCUGUAUGUAAAAUAUAUCAUUUUGAUAUAUGAUCUCUUGUCUAAAAAAUGUAUAUGACUAUGUCUUCAACUUCUAAUAGGUGAAACAGUAGUCAGAGAUUUCUGAGAAUCUGCUUCCAGGGUUACAAUUCUCAGUUUAGCUGAAAUAAAAUUCCCUUUCUUUUCUUAAC